CCGAUGGAGGGGGGUAACUACUGGAAACGGUAGCUAAUACCGCAUAACGUCGCAAGACCAAAGAGGGGGACCUUCGGGCCUCUUGCCAUCGGAUGUGCCCAGAUGGGAUUAGCUAGUAGGUGGGGUAACGGCUCACCUAGGCGACGAUCCCUAGCUGGUCUGAGAGGAUGACCAGCCACACUGGAACUGAGACACGGUCCAG
rnacentral:rRNA from 1 species